rnacentral:rRNA from 1 species
AGAUUGAACGCUGGCGGCAUGCUUUACACAUGCAAGUCGAACGGUAACAGGCCGCAAGGUGCUGACGAGUGGCGAACGGGUGAGUAAUGUAUCGGAACGUGCCCAGUCGUGGGGGAUAACGCAGCGAAAGCUGCGCUAAUACCGCAUACGAUCUAUGGAUGAAAGCGGGGGACCGUAAGGCCUCGCGCGAUUGGAGCGGCCGAUAUCAGAUUAGGUAGUUGGUGGGGUAAAGGCUCACCAAGCCAACGAUCUGUAGCUGGUCUGAGAGGACGACCAGCCACACUGGGACUGAGACACGGCCCAGACUCCUACGGGAGGCAGCAGUGGGAAUUUUGGACAAUGGGCGCAAGCCUGAUCCAGCAAUGCCGCGUGCAGGAAGAAGGCCUUCGGUUGUAAACUGCUUUUGUACGAACGAAACGGUACCUGGUUAAUACCUAGGCUAAUGACGGUACCGUAAGAAUAAGCACCGGCUAACUACGUGCCAGCAGCCGCGGUAA